rnacentral:rRNA from 1 species
AACGAACGCUGGCGGCGUGGAUAAGACAUGCAAGUCGAACGGAAUUACUUUUGUAGCAAUACAGAAGUAAUUCAGUGGCGAACGGGUGCGUAACACGUGGGCAAUCUGCCGAGAAGUGGGGGAUAGCUCGCCGAAAGGCGAAUUAAUACCGCAUGUGGUGAGGGAAGACAUCUUCCUGAAUCCAAAGCCGGGGUAACCUGGCGCUUUUUGAGGAGCCCGCGGCCUAUCAGCUUGNGGUGAGGUAACGGCUCACCAAGGCUUUGACGGGUAGCUGGUCUGAGAGGACGACCAGUCACACUGGAACUGAGACACGGUCCAGACACCUACGGGUGGCAGCAGUCGAGAAUUUUUCUCAAUGGGGGAAACCCUGAAGGAGCGACGCCGCGUGGAGGAUGAAGGCUUUCGGGUGUAAACCUCUGUCACCGGGGAAGAACGCUUCAAGUUAAUAGUUUAGAGCCUGACUUAACCCGGAGAGAGCAGUGGCUAACUCUGUGCCAGC